ACGAUCAGUAGCUGGUUUGAGAGAACGAUCAGCCACACUGGGACUGAGACACGGCCCAGACUCCUCCGGGAGGCAGCAGUGAGGAAUUUUCCGCAAUGGGCGAAAGCCUGACGGAGCAAUACCGCGUGAGGGAUGAAGGAUUUUGGUCUGUAAACCUCUUUUCUCAAGAAAGAAGUUCUGACGGUACUUGAGGAAUAAGCAUCGGCUAACUCCGUGCCAGCAGCCGCGGUAAUACGGGGGAUGCAAGCGUUAUCCGGAAUCAUUGGGCGUAAAGCGCCUGUAGGUUGUUUAAUAAGUCUGUUGUUAAAGACUAGGGCUCAACCCUAGAAAAGCAAUGGAAACUACUAGACUAGAGUAUGGCAGGGGUAGAGGGAAUUUCUAGUGUAGCGGUGAAAUGCGUAGAUAUUAGAAAGAACACCGGUGGCGAAAGCGCUCUACUGGACCAUUACUGACACUCAGAGGCGAAAGCUAGGGUAGCAAAAGGGAUUAGAUACCCCUGUAGUCCUAGCCGUAAACGAUGGAUACUAGGUGUUGUAUUUAUUUUACAGUAUCGUAGCUAACGCGUUAAGUAUCCCGCCUGGGGAGUACGCUCGCAAGGGUGAAACUCAAAGGAAUUGACGGGGGCCCGCACAAGCGGUGGAGCAUGUGGUUUAAUUCGAUGCAACGCGAAGAACCUUACCAGGGCUUGACAUACUGCGAAUCUCUUGGAAAGGAGAGAGUGCCUUCGGGAAUGCAGGUACAGGUGGUGCAUGGCUGUCGUCAGCUCGUGUCGUGAGAUGUUGGGUUAAGUCCCGCAACGAGCGCAACCCUUGUUUUUAGUUACCAACUUGUUGGGUUUUCUAGAAAGACUGCCGGUGACAAACCGGAGGAAGGUGAGGAUGACGUCAAGUCAGCAUGCCCCUUAUGUCCUGGGCUACACACGUGCUACAAUGGUUAGGACAAAGAGUUGCAAGUUUGCAAAAACAAGCUAAUCUCGUAAACCUCACCUAAGUUCAGAUUGUAGGCUGCAACUCGCCUACAUGAAGUUGGAAUCGCUAGUAAUCGCUGGUCAGCCAUACAGCGGUGAAUCCGUUCCCGGGCCUUGUACACACCGCCCGUCACACCAUGGGAGCUGGUCAUACCCGAAACCGUUAGCUUAACCGUUUGGAGAGCGGCGUCUAAGGUAGGGCUAGUGACUGGGGUGAAGUCGUAACAAGGUAGCCGUACUGGAAGGUGCGGCUGGAUCACCUCCUU
rnacentral:rRNA from 1 species